CUCGGCUGCCGCCGGUGAACGGCGGCUCGGCCGAGUUCGACUAUCCAAACCCACCUGUGUCACCUAGAAACUGGAUUUCUGUUUUGCGCUUUUUUCAGUGAAAAGCGUGGGUGUUUUGCCCCUUGGGGCGAGAUGCCGUUAUUUUUCACUCCUAUUACACCUCUGGGCGGCAACGUCUGGGGAGACGAAUUUAUCGAGGCCCUGGGCUGCUAUGGGAUUUUUGCGCGAGCAUUGCCCCAGGCUCCCCGCGGCCUCAAAGACCAAUGACACAAAACUCUUAGCGGUGGAUGUCUCGGCUCUUGUAUCGAUGAAGAACGUAGCAAACUGCGAUACCUAGUGUGAAUUGCAGAAUUCCGUGAAUCAUCGAGUCUUUGAACGCAAGUUGCGGUCGCGGGCAAUCCUGCGACCAUGCCUAUUUGAGUGUCGCUUUCACACAUCGCAAACGCCACUGCGCGGGUUUUAACUUAAAGCUUGUGGGUGUCUCUGGACGAGAGGGGUGUCGCGCGGUGUUUUUAUUAUAGAAAAGCCGCCCGACGCCCGCGCGGAUUGCGGCCGUGGGUGCAUCGGUUUCUCGGAGGGAAUAAGGGCUUUAAAAAAGCCCUCCCCGCGAACGGAGCCGUGACCCGAAACCGAGUCUCGCGGACGACCGCCCAAGGACGUGCUCUGCCGGCGCCGUAAUAGGCGACGGGAGACAGGCGCGCUUUGGGCGCUGCGGCAAAAGGACCUGGGAGGACCCUCGCGUCUUCAAACUUCCUUUUGGCUGACCGCAGCGCCUACCCCAAAGAAGCGAGCGUGGCGGCGCAAAAGGCGCGCACGGCCUCCAUGGCAAGGCGUCCACUGUUGUGUU
rnacentral:rRNA from 1 species